GGGGCUGCAUUCUUUCACUGGCCGAGAGCGAGAGACGACGCUUAUUGCAUCACAUGCUCAUUAUGCUAUACAUUUUAUAGAGCAGUCCUCAACCGGCGGCUUCAUUAAUAGUACCCGCAAAACACCAGUCUCAAUGCCAACAGUGAGGAGGCGACUCCGGGAUGCUGCCAUAUCUCAGACUGGCCAAUGAAAAGAAAAUAUUAAGAUGGGCAAAAGAACACAGACACUGGACAGAGGAUUAUCGACAUCUCGCUUGGUGGAUUUAUAUUGCAUCAUUAUUUUAACCAAGGUUAGAAUAGCGAUUAUAGAAAACCAAGAGGUGAUUGAAUGGCAACAUGGGAGAGAAAGUGUGUGAUCAGAUGUGUUAAGUUUGUAUGUUUGUGGAGAGUAAAUGGUUAAACAGUGAUGAUUUAUGAGUGUGACGUAUCUUUGGGCUCCACAACAGGUUGGAGAUGCUGACUCUCUCCUCUCUUAUUCUGAGGUCAUAGGGGUGUCAUUGUGCCAGGAGCUUGACUUAAACCCAGUGGCAUUUCUCAGAACGUGCACAUGCCAACUUCCUGCCACAAGCAAGCUCACUUGAGUGACGGCAAAAGAACACGGUUUUCCCCCCUUCAAGAUGGCUAUUCAAGAAUGAUGAAGUCAUGACUUUACUAAGCAUGUCCAGACGUUGAUGUCAGCAUUCAUCAAAAAAAUAAAUCAUACAAAAAUGGAACAUUUGGAUGAUACUAAUGUUUCUAAAAACUAAUCCUGGAAUCCUCAUCCCCAAAGUUUUUUUUAAAUAUGUAUUUCCAUUCUAUAAUUAAAGGUAGCCUGGUGACUCAGUGGUUUCCCUGAAGUGUUUUGUGUUUUUAAGUGUUUGGCCGGCAUGGAAGGGGUUUACCAGCGCUGUGAAUUCUUGAUUGCCAACUCCCAGGAUCGUAUCUCCUGUGAAUAAGAGCCAUCUGCGCUGGGCUGGGCUUGUGCCCCCCCUCUCCUUGGCCUACUACACUCCACUCAAAGGCUCUCUGUGCUGUGGUUUGUCCAGAGCCAUCACGUGACUUCUCUGAAAGUGCCCCCUCCCUCCUCCUCACCCUUUAUUUCCAGUAAACUGUUUGAAAGGAGGGGGUGAGUCAGAGUAAAACCAGCUUCCCUUCAACCACAGCUUGUUAAAGAAUUUGUCAACGUGGACUCGGGCCGUUUUUUUUUUUUGUUGUUGAUAGAUUUGAAUUUUGUAGGGACUAUGGGGCUGGGAUUGGGUUGGGUUGCGUCAGGAGCCUUAAUCACUCUGCUGCGUGCGCGUGUGUGUGUGUGUGUGUUUGAAAGAAAGAGAGGGAACAGGCUUGUGAGCAGUUAAUAAGAUGAACUUUAGCCAUCUCUCUGUCGGGGCUCGCCUCACUCCGCUCUGGAGAUGUGUGUCGUCCUCUCUCUGUGUGAAAGAGUUUCAUUCAGAAAAAAAGAGAGUGAAAGAAAGAGAGAGAGAGAGAAACUGUGUGUGGGUGUUGACUUGUGUAUAGGCUAUGCAUCGAGUUUUCCUUAACUGACACUUUCCAGAUGCAGAUUGCAUUGUCGUCUGCCUAUUUUUGAACUCCUUACCCCAGCCUUUCCCAAACUCAGUCCCGGGGACCCCAAGGGGAGCACGUUUUGGUUUUUGCCCUAGCACUACACACCUGAUUCAAGCUUGAUGAUUAGUUGAUUAUUUGAAUCAGCUGUGUAGUGCUAGGGCAAAAACCAAAAUGUGCCCCCCUUGGCUCCCCAGGACCAUGUUUGGGAAACGCUGCCUUAGCCUCAUCACGUCUACACCCACAUGUUUUCAAACCUUUGAGGUCAUCAUAAGGAACACAUUUGUAUUCUGGAGUACGUAUUUGCAUCAGUACAAUGAGUCAUGCAUAUAUUGUAUAAAUUGAUAUCAGGGCAAGUUGUUAUCAUAAACAUGGAGUGGGCUGGUUUGUUUAUAUAAACAGAGUCCCGUAAUUUAGAAUAGGGGUUGCUAUAUCAUUACAUGUGUGGAGGGAAACAGUGAACUCUUUUCCUUUUUUCCCACUGGGAUGCCUAUUUGUGUCAAUCUCUCGUCAUCUCUCUGGCAACAGUAACCAUUGGUAUUCAAACUAUUGUGUUAAACAUAGCGCUCAUUGGUCCCCUUUGUGUGGACAUUUUCCGUGACAGUAAAUAAUAUAGAAUGUGCUCUGAUAGUUUAAUGUCAUUAAAAUUCUUAGAACCUAGAUUCCAUGUAAUCAUCGUCUUUGACAUCAUUUCAUUACUAAGAAGUCCCUGACAGUCACCCUACCUUGGGAGACUAGCUACUGUACCUUUAGACACCACCCUAAAGAUGGGUAUUGUAUUUUUGGAUACAUUUAAAGAGUAAAAUAAGAAGGAAGUUUCCUUCUUAUUUUACUCUUUAAAUGUAUCCAAAAAUAGCAUAGCAGUUAAUGGGGCCACUAACUAUAAUAGCCUUAACAUAUAAACGGCAGAUCAAACAUGUGAUUUUUACUUCACACUGUAGGCAUUAUCUUUAUGUGGGGGCGUAGUGGUACAGAGUGCUGAGUAAAGAGACGGACAGCAAAAGGCUGGAGCCAUGCUCCCAUGGUUUUAAUGACCCUGCACCCUUGACAAGAUCUCCAAAAUGUAAUUGCUGGUAAGCCCUGCCCUGGGGGACAGCAUGUUGUGCGGUGACGGGGAUGGGAGAGGCGGGAGGGAGGGAGGCAGCCGUGGGUGGAAGCCUGGCCAAGAUGGUGAUUUUCCAUGAGCUGCAUACAAUACACGUUGUGUGGUGUCUGGAUUUCUGAACACUGGUCAUGUACAAUAGACAAUUUUGUGGUCCAGAAGGUACACAUACGGGGAGUCCCUCGAGCAAAUCGCAAUGUCACGUGUAUACACACGAUAUCCCUGCCCACUGGGACCUUCACUUCAUUCGGUAGAGAGGAAGCCAUUUUCCUUUCACUCAUUCAUACCAGUCAAGUGAGGGGAAAUCCAGAAUUCUACCGACUUGGUAAACAAUACCAAUGCAAUGUAAUCUAAUAAAUGUGACCCAUUUGACUAAACAGUGCUUGUUUUCCUAACAGUUAAUAGUUAUUGAAACAUAACUCCUCUAUUCUACAGUUGUCAGGUGUUUGCGGUCAACAGACGGCCCAGAGUGGUUCAGCUGUAAACAUUUACAUUUGAGUCCUUUAGCAGACACUCUUAUCCAGGGCGACAUACAGGAGCAUUUGGGGUUAAGUGCCUUGCUCAAGGGCACAGACAGAUUUUUCCCCUAGUCGGCAUGGAGAUUCGAACCAGUGACCUUUCGGUUACUGGCCCAAUGCUACCUGCUGCCACAUACACAUUCCUACCCCCCAGACAUCCUGCUCUGUCUCCCAAGAAAAAAUAAUAAAAAUAAAAUAAGGAAUAAAGAAUCUGGAACAGAAGACUAGAAUUAGAGAAGCAGGUUUAUCCUUGUGAAAAGCCCUUGUGAUUGUAUAAAAUCUUAGGGCGAAUUUCAAAAUGUGAGCCAAUCAGAGUGGAUGUCAGUUGGCCCCCCUCCCUUCUUUUAUUCCCUGUGGGCCGGCUCCUGCUCUUGAAAAAAUGCCGCGAUUACUCUACUGCUUUGUUGACCAUAUUUGGCAUGCUCAUAUCUUACUACCCUCCCCCAGUCAAGUUCAACCUCUCAAGUUUAAAUGUACUGGUAUGUGUGAAACAUUUUACCCGUACAUUUAGGUUGUGUUAUUGUUUAGCUAUUUCAUCAUGCAUUGAUGUUUAAUCAAUUUCUUGUAAAACUUGAUGAUUUGGAUGAGGAUAUAUUGUUCAUUCAGGGUGGCACGUCCUAUCUGAUUUUAGGGCAGUUUAAUAUAAGUAAAAUAUAUAGCAAUUAAACUGAUGAAAUUAAAAAAACAUUAACCAGUAGUAAUAUGGUAAUUACAGUCAUCUGAAAUAUGGCAGUUUGAGUUCUGGAUCAAUUAAGAGUUGACGGUAAGGUUUAUGCCUCAUAUCAGAUUUAGCCUGAGAGAGAUGACCUGAGAGAGAUGACCUGAGAGAGAUGACCUGAGAGAGAUGACCUGAGAGAGAUGACCUGAGAGAGAUGACCUGAGAGAGAUGACCUGAGAGAGAUGACCUGAGAGAGAUGACCUGAGAGAGAUGACCUGAGAGAGAUGACCUGAGAGAGAUGACCUGAGAGAGAUGACCUCGUACUAAAAGGACUUGCAGUGCAAGUGCAGAAAAUGGUUCAGAGGGUUGGAUUCUUUGGAAUUCUAGUCUGCGCCUCUAUUACCAAUCCAAUGUUUGACCUGGCAGAUAUAACAUGGUUCCCUUUUGGACCUUUUUUUGGAGCAACACUAAUUGGGAAAGCCAUAGCCAAAAUGCACAUUCAGAAACUGUUUGUGAUCAUAACCUUCAGCACGCACAUAGUGGAGCAGAUGGUGUCUCUGAUUGGAGCUUGAAGACCAGUCAUCAAAGAACAGUCCAGUCCAACUCUGAUCCUUCUGAGUCCUGAGUCACAGGCCUGCUUUUACGGCUCUGCCUGUCCGUUUAUAAGAACACGAAGCAGGGCAGGGCACAGCUCCAACUAAGGCCACUCAUUCAACAUUAACACAAACAAAGCAAUUGUAAAAAUGCCCAUUCAGAACAAUGGCAGCCAAGCUAAUGAGUCAAAGGAUGUGUUUUAGUAGGGGGUUGUGUGUAAAUAGGGGUUAUUUAUAAAAACGUACCGUAAAACUGUUUUACAUUUACUACCUGUUGUUCCCAACGGGUCAUUUCCCAAUACAAAGCGCCUAGACUAAAUAACAACUAUUGGCUCUCUUAUACAUAUUUAACACCUUGAGGCAGACAUCGGUGUUCAAUUUGAUUAGAUUAGAUUUUUCUUAUUUUUUUUUUUACAAAUGAAUGGAAGAAUCUGUUACUUGAUUGUACUUGCAUGUUAUUUAGUAAUUAUUGAUCAUUCUUUGCAUGUUUAGUCAUUUUUCCCAUUAGUCAUCAACUAAUGGUUUUAAAUGUUUUAUGUUUUGUUUAUUUAUAUUGAGAAUCUAAAUGUAGUCACUGUUUUUCAAUGUUUUCUGGUUUUGUGUGAUUGACCAUAAAUACCUUUUCGCCUGAGGUAAUAACAGUGGUUGUAAAGCACUUGUACUAGCAAUAAAAAAAAAGCUAUUUUGUAGUGAAAAUAGCUAAAACUGUAUUGUUGUGGCGUUAGGAGGAAGUAGGUCUUGAACAGCACUUUCACUGGCUGUCUGUACGUUAGACAGACACACAUCCUGCCCAACGUGUAUGCACAACCUAGCCCUAGCCUCAAACCUGAAACUAACUAUUACUGUGCACAAAAUGUUGUCACUUGUUAUUGUGUUAUUUUUAGUGAUGUAAUGUAAGCACUACAGGGGAGCCCCCC